rnacentral:ncRNA from 1 species
CUAUUUGAUGUAUGUGUUGGGAGAGAAAUUUAAUUGAAUUGGGAGAAGCUCAAUCCAAUAAUCGAGGCAAACUCUGAAUACUAGGUAUGACCUCAAAAUAACAAGGGUCAAGGUCGGCCAGCGAGACGAUGGGGGAUAAGCUUCAUCGUCGAGAGGGAAACAGCCCGGAUCACCAGCUAAGGCCCCUAAAUGACCGCUCAGUGAUAAAGGAGGUAGGGGUGCAGAGACAACCAGGAGGUUUGCCUAGAAGCAUCCACCCUUGAAAGAGUGCAUAAUAGCUCACUGAUCGAGCGCUCUUGCGCCGAAGAUGAACGGGGCUAAGCGAUCUGCCGAAUGCCGAAGCUGUGGGAUGUAAAAAUGAAUCGGUAGGGGAGCGUUCCACCUUAGAGGGAAGGACCCGCGUGAGCAUUGUUGGACGAAGCGGAAGCG